UUGAGAUGAGUUUUCCCUGGCACUAUAAGUGUCCUAAAGGGUUGUCGUAGACUACGACGUUGAUAGGCAGGGUGUGUAAGUGCUGCGAGGCAUUGAGCUAACCUGUACUAAUUGCCCGUGAGGCUUAACCAUACAACACCCAAGGGGUUU
rnacentral:rRNA from 3 species